rnacentral:miRNA from 1 species
ACAAGCUUUCGGGAGAACCUCCCUUUCUCAAGUCUGAAGCAUUCUUGAGAAAGGGAGGUUCUCCCGAAAGCUUG